rnacentral:rRNA from 1 species
UACGUAGGGUGCGAGCGUUAAUCGGAAUUACUGGGCGUAAAGGGUGCGCAGGCGGCUUGCUAAGACAGGUGUGAAAGCCCCGGGCUUAACCUGGGAAUUGCGCUUGUGACUGGCAGACUGGAGUGUGGCAGAGGGAGGUGGAAUUCCACGUGUAGCAGUGAAAUGCGUAGAGAUGUGGAGGAACACCGAUGGCGAAGGCAGCCUCCUGGGCCAGCACUGACGCUCAUGCACGAAAGCGUGGGGAGCAAACAGG